rnacentral:tRNA from 1 species
UCAUUAAUAAUUUAUAAAAAUCUUGAUUUUGUAAAUCAAAAAUGA